rnacentral:rRNA from 1 species
UGAAGGUCAAGCUGGAGACUUUACCAGACAAGCUGAGAAGUGGUGCAUGGCCGUCGCCAGCUCGUGCCGUGAGAUGUCCUGUU